rnacentral:rRNA from 1 species
CCUACGGGGGGCAGCAGUCGAGAAUCUUUCACAAUGGGGGCAACCCUGAUGGAGCGACGCCGCGUGGAGGAUAAGGUCUUCGGAUUGUAAACUCCUGUCAUGCGAGAACAAGGUUGCAGGGCUAACACCUUUGCAAAUUGAUGGUACCGCAAGAGGAAGAGACGGCUAACUCUGUGCCAGCAGCCGCGGUAAUACAGAGGUGUCAUGCCUUGUUCGGAAGCGCGGGGAGUUGAGGUGGUAAGUGAGAUGUGAAAGCCCGGGGCUCAACCUCGGAAUUGCAUCCGAUACUGCCAUGCUGGAGUACUGAAGAGGUGACUAGAAUUCUAGGUGUAGCAGUGAAAUGCGUAGAUAUCUAGAGGAAUACCAACGGCGAAGGCAGGUCACUGGGCAGUUACUGACACUGAGGCACGAAGGCCAGGGGAGCAAACGGGAUUAGAUACCCUAGUAGUC